rnacentral:rRNA from 1 species
AUGCAACAGGCAUGUUUAGCACAUCUCAACCACAUAAAAUGUAUCCUUAAGUAUAUCAAAGGGACUCUCGAUCAUGGUCUCUCCAUUACUCCCUCUGAUCCUACCUCACUCACCGCGUACUCUGAUGCGGACUGGGUAGGAUGUUCGGAUACUCGACGAUCUACUUCUGGUUACUGUGUGUAUUUGGGUGAUAAUCUGAUUUCUUGGUCUUCAAAAAGGCAGCUAACCGCUUCCAGGUCUUCAGCCGAAGCAGAGUACCGCUCUGUUGCUCACACUGAGACAGUAUGGCUUCGUCAACUCCUAGCUGAGCUACAUCGUCCCAUUCAACAAGCUACCAUAGUUUAUUGUGACAAUGUAUCAGCUGUGUAUCUGUCAUGUAAUCGUGUUUAG